CCUACGGGUGGCAGCAGUGGGGAAUAUUGCACAAUGGGGGAAACCCUGAUGCAGCGACGCCGCGUGAGUGAUGAAGUAUUUCGGUAUGUAAAGCUCUAUCAGCAGGGAAGAAAAUGACGGUACCUGACUAAGAAGCCCCGGCUAACUACGUGCCAGCAGCCGCGGGAAUACGUAGGGGGCAAGCGUUAUCCGGAUUUACUGGGUGUAAAGGGAGCGUAGACGGCGGUGCAAGCCAGAUGUGAAAGGCCGGGGCCCAACCCCGGGACUGCAUUUGAGACUGUGCUGCUAGAGUGUCGGAGAGGCAGGCGGAAUUCCUGGUGGAGCGGUGAAAUGCGUAGAUAUUAGGAGGAACACCAGUGGCGAAGGCGGCCUGCUGGACGAUGACUGACGUUGAGGCUCGAAAGCGUGGGGAGCAAACAGGAUUAGAUACCCGUGUAGUC
rnacentral:rRNA from 1 species